rnacentral:rRNA from 1 species
UUGUCUCAAAGAUUAAGCCAUGCAUGUCUCAGUACAAGCCAAAUUAAGGUGAAACCGCGAAAGGCUCAUUAAAUCAGUUAUGGUUCCUUAGAUCGUACCAAUAGUUACUUGGAUAACUGUGGUAAUUCUAGAGCUAAUACAUGCAAACAGAGCUUCGACCUGAAAAGGAAGAAGCGCUUUUAUUAGAUCAAAACCAAUCGGUGGCGGGCAUUUUUUUGUUCGUCAUCGUAUAAUUUGGUGAAUCUGAAUAACUUUAUGCUGAUCGCACGGUCUUGCACCGGCGACGUAUCUUUCAAAUGUCUGCCUUAUCAACUGUCGAUGGUAGGUUCUGCGCCUACCAUGGUUGUAACGGGUAACGGGGAAUCAGGGUUCGAUUCCGGAGAGGGAGCCUGAGAAACGGCUACCACAUCCAAGGAAGGCAGCAGGCGCGCAAAUUACCCACUCCCGGCACGGGGAGGUAGUGACGAAAAAUAACGAUACGGGACUCAUCCGAGGCCCCGUAAUCGGAAUGAGUACACUCUAAACCCUUUAACGAGGAUCAAUUGGAGGGCAAGUCUGGUGCCAGCAGCCGCGGUAAUUCCAGCUCCAAUAGCGUAUAUUAAAGUUGUUGCGGUUAAAAAGCUCGUAGUCGGAUUUGUGUCGCACGCCGCCGGUUCAUCGUUCGCGGUGUUAACUGGCGUGUCGUGAGACGUCCUGCCGGUGGGCUUAGCUCGCAAGGGCGGCCCAAUUCAAUCCUGCCGCGGUGCUCUUCAUUGAGUGUCGAGGUGGGCCGGCACGUUUACUUUGAACAAAUUAGAGUGCUUAAAGCAGGCUAAAAUUUUGCCUGAAUACUGUGUGCAUGGAAUAAUGGAAUAGGACCUCGGUUCUAUUUUGUUGGUUUUCGGAACCCCGAGGUAAUGAUUAAUAGGAACGGAUGGGGGCAUUCGUAUUGCGACGUUAGAGGUGAAAUUCUUGGAUCGUCGCAAGACGGACAGAAGCGAAAGCAUUUGCCAAAAA